UAAAAAUUUCUUGUGUAAUCUCCUUGAACCAGUGAUUCGGUGGAAGGAUCCAUGCCAUCUGUAUCAAAGAACAUGCUACCAAAUAUAUAAAAACGUCCAUUUCCAAUGAUUUCAGUACCAUCUUGGUGUUCCAUCAUGCAGAACGAAUUCUACUUCCAAACUUAAUGAACAACACAAUUUUCAAGUUAAAGGGAUGCCCUCGUAGCUUAGUCGUUAGAAGUAAAUGCACCGUUUUGGAAUCAGACUGGACCUGGUUUGGAGUCUUGUGUCAGCCACUAACUAACUAGAUACUGAUGAGUUACUAAAAUUCUCCAAGCUUCAUUUUCUUGUAAAAAGGCAUUAAUAAUAGUAGAAAUAAUAACUUAAAUUUACUGAGCACUUAUCAUGAUGUAUUGUCAAAAUUAAUCCCACCAAGAGGUAUUUCUUAUGGUAAUCUGGAGACUAAGAGUGAACUCUUCCUCUGCCGGUCACAACUCCUUUACAAUUAAAAAUGCUUUUUCUUCUUUUAUACUUUGUAUCCUUUGAUGCUCACAACAGCCCUGUUAGACAGAGAGUUAUAUCAGCUGUUAAGAGGAUCCAGUGAGCCCGCUCUGGUUCUGAAGAAUCACUUUGAGUAUAUGCA
rnacentral:lncRNA from 1 species